ACUAGGGUUUCAACUUCUUCACUACGCUUCCACCUCCCUCGUUCACAUUCUGCCUGCCUCCAUGAAGAAACCCUAGCUGCCUCCCUAUGAAGGAACACCACGAAAAAAGUAAAUUAAUUUAUUCAUCUUCUUUUUGUAUAAUUCAGUUCUAGAUCUAAAUGAAUCAAGUUUUUUUCUUUUCUUCAUCUGCCUUCUGUUCAUUCAAGCUCACAAUUGGGGGAAGAAAUUUUAGGGUUUGUUAAAGGAGAUGGUCAGAGCUCAGAACGAGGGCAAUGGAUUGGAAUUUAGGGUUCUUCGAUCUCGGUAAGAAAUUCUAGGGUUUCGAUCGAAAUAACGUUGGGUAAGGAAUUAUUUGGAUCGCUAUCUUCUCUAUUUAAGGUUAGGCUAGCGUUGAGAAAAUGGUAAAUAAGAUCACUAUCUUCGAUCUCUAAAGCUUAUGAAACCUAAUUCUUGCUCUUUAUUUCCUACUUAAAUAUUGUUUACGGUUGGAUGUGCCGAUUUAUUGUUGAUUUUGUUAAUAUUUCUUUAGAUUCUAACUGUUACAAUUCUAAAUAACAAUGGUUAUCCAAUAUUACGGUUGUUGAUUUGCAUUUCGCAGGUUUUAGGGUUUCGUGUUAACCAGGUAACUUCCUGGUCUGACUCAUUUGUGUUUCAUCAGGAUCCAAUAGGUGCUCUCUAACCCUAAAAUUGAUUGGCCUUUAAUCAACAUUAAGAUUUUGAUUUGUUUUUUUAUGCAGGACUCAAGGCGCUUAAUCUAUCUGAAUGAACGAUUGAGGGAGAAAGCUCUUGAAAAGAAACCUAAAAUCUGGGACAUUUUGAAAGCUAAUGCAUCAUUCCAACAAAGCAUUAGUGAAAAAACCAUCCAAUCAGUUGCCAGAAUCAAGCUGAGAUGCAAAUUAGAGAGACAACAUCAAAUGAAAUGACAUCGAGGUUAAAAGUGUGCUUGAUCCUUGUGAGUAUGAUAAUGUGACUUUGGGAGGUGACUCAAUGCAGCAAGAUCGAGAUAUUGAAACUGAUAGUGAGAUAGAGUACCCAAUAUAUUGUGUUAAUCUAUGACUGACCCACUACAUGGAUGCAAGGGUCAAAAGUUUUGAUUCAAUUGUCCAAUACAUAUACAUGACUGACCCACUAUAUGGAUCCAUUUAUUACGGUCAUAAUUUCUCUUUUUGAAGCCUAUUUGCAAUCUAUACAUUACUAUAAUUUUAUUAUAUAAAAUAAUCAUCAUACAACCAUGAAACCAUCCGAACCGGUCAUCGGUUUGAUUUCACGGUCGGUUUUUUUAAACUUUUGCUCGGUUGGUUUCAAAAGUUUAAGGCCGUAGUGAACAGUUCGGUUUACAAUUUAUACCCAAAACUUGUCGUAAAAACCGGACUAGACUGUAUCUUUAACUAUUUAUAGUUGGAAUGUAUGAAUUUAUUGUAUUGAUUCUUAUAUACUAUUUUUUUUUUCAAACGAGAAUGUCUCAAAUGGAAUCCAUUUUAUGUAAUAACUUUCUGGUUAAAAUAAUCAUAUGGAUAUGGAUGUCUAUUAAGUGCUGCUUAGGAUCUUAACUUUCUGUUAUGGUAGUUAACAAGGUUAUUGCACAAUUUAAUGUAAAAUGCAAACUGAAUAUUUUAACACUGAAAUAAGCUUAAGGCAAUUAAUUAUAUGGGAGCACUAACAGAAGGGGCAAUUACCACAUGUAAGCAUUACAAGAAAAGCUAUAUGUAUGAAGAAUGAUCAACAGAAUUGGCCGGAAUUGGAAGGGAUUCUUUGUUCAAUCAUUUAAAAAUAUGCGUGGAAAGAAACAGAAGAUCCUGGACCUCUUUUAUAAUUUUAGUUUAUGCAUUUUAUAUAGAGGGCCAAACAAAGCUCAAAACCGUAAAAUCAAAACGAAACCAAACCGUUAGCAACGAUUUGGCUUGGUUCGGUUUUAACUUUGAACGGUUCGGUUUUGGUUUUCAAUAUUCAAAAACCAUUACUAACGAUUUGGCUCACGAUUUGACCUAAAAACCGUCAAAACCAGACCGUGAACACCCCUAACCAUUCUGGUAAUAGAGGGUUGCGUGGUGUACUGUCUUUACCCGACUGUCCCUUUUCAGUGGCCUAGCACACGCUGGUAAAAUUGCAGUCGGGAUAUCACGUGGUCUUGUGUUUUUAUUGGUGUUCAUAAUUAUAUUUAUCUAUAAAAGAAGACAACGUAGCGACUAGAACUUUGCUCUUCCUCACAAGUUAGUGUCUUAAGUUGAAUUUCUUCGACUCUCAUGGUUUCUGUAUUUGAAAAAUUAAUGGUCUCUUUUGA